CACCACACCGCCUCUCGCUCUGGGGUGAUCUGCGGCACGCGGGGCAGAGCAGCAGCUUUGAGGGAAAGCAAGUGAGAGUCCAAACCCCCCCCCACCCCCGGCCCCGGGACGGGCGCUGGACAAAGAAACAAGUCUAACAGUCUCUGGGUAGAAGAAAGAUGAGAUGCUUCCAUCAAGUUCCACAGCACAGCCCUCCAGGGCACUCCCUUGAGAAAAAAGUUCCUGGGACACCCUGCGGGACCCUUGGCCACGCUCCGGCUCUGUCCUUCCAGAAUGCUUGGGAAGAGCCUGGCUUUCCACUGCAGCCAGAGUGCCUGCGAGAGGGCCCUGAACACACCAUGUCACGCCACGUCACGCCACAUCACGCCACGCCACGCCAUGAGCUCACUCUCUCCUGCUCAGAGUUACUGGCCAUGGUUUUGCUGAAACAAGUCCUUGCUAGAAGCGAAAGAACACAAAGGUGAAACUGGACCUAAAAACAACAAGAGCAGAAAUGUCAUCCGGAGGUGUCCAGGAGGAACGGGGCGGGGAGGGGCCCUCUCUGCUCCUCCCCUCUGUCUGCGCUUUUCUCUCUGCCUUCAACACCCUCUCUCCGCUUCCUGUUUCUCUGGGGAAGCAGAAGUUACCAGAAGGCCCCACUGGGCAGACCCUUCUGCUGUCUUCCUUUCAGCCGCUAGUGCUGCCUGGCUCCUGGCAUUGCUGAGCCCCCAGCCCCUCACGAGCCCCCUUGACCGUCCACCCCCGCCCCAGCAGCACACAGAUACAACAUCCCGUCCAACCCGCUGCGCAUUUUCCUUGACCUCUACCUGCUUUCCCAAGUAACCAGCAUUACAAGUGUGAGCCACUGCGCCCGCCUUCAAGUUAUUCUUAU